rnacentral:rRNA from 1 species
AUGCAUGCCCUUAUCGGUAUGGUUCCUCCGGAGCCUCGGGAACCAGAAGCAGAAGACCAGAAGAAGGAAAGAGUGGCAGCCGGUGCUCCUUUCAGCUGGAUUGCAUGGAACUUUGGUACUUGCCCUCGGGAAGGUAAUGAGGAUGAGGUAAAGACAUAUGCUCGUGUCUACAUGUGGUAUGUUAUAUCCAGGACUAUGUUUGCUGAUGGCACGGGUGACGGUGUCCUGGACUAG